UUGGAAAUACCCCAAAGCCUUGUCUUUAUCUGUCAACUCCUCCAAAAUGUCAAAACACAAACAAGAUAACUCUUUCUUAAAUUUUCAACCAUCAAUUUUUUAUUCACCUAGCCUAAAAGUCCUGAUUAUCAGUUCUGGGUCCCUGGCAAUGACUGUUGGGUACAAACUGCAAAGCUUUGUUCUGCAGGUAGGGCUGGGCUUUUCAUUGACCAUGGGUUGGAAUAGUUCUGUGGGCAUAGUGUGUCUUCGAAGCCACUAUGUUUUCUGCACUUGUGACUAGAGAGCACCUUGAUAGCUCAGUUUGUAGAGCGGUGGACUGUAAGAUGCUCCUUUGUGGAACGCUGUGAUCCUAAGGUCGCUGGUUCAACUCCAGCUCCAAGCACCUCCUUGUCAUUGUAAAUACCCCCAAGCCUUGUCUUUAUCUGUCAACUCCUCCAAAAUGUCAAAACACAAAGAAGAUAACUCUUUCUUAAAUUUUCAACCAUCAAUUUUUAUUCACCCAGCCUAAAAGUCCUGAUUAUCAGUUCUGGGUCCCUGGCAAUGACUUUUGGGUACAAACUGCAAAGCUUUGUUCUGCAGGUAGGGCUGGGCUUUUCAUUGACCAUGGGUUGGAAUAGUUCUGUGGGCAUAGUGUGUCUUCGAAGCCACUAUGUUUUCUGCACUUGUGACUAGAGAGCACCUUGAUAGCUCAGUUGGUAGAGCGGUGGACUGUAAGAUGCUCCUUGUGUGAAACGCUGUGAUCCUAAGGUCGCUGGUUCAACUCCAGCUCCAAGCAGCUCCUUGUCAUUGGAAAUACCCCCAAGCCUUGUCUUUAUCUGUCAACUCCUCCAAAAUGUCAAAACACAAAGAAGAUAACUCUUUCUUAAAUUUUCAACCAUCAAUUUUUUAUUCACCCAGCCUAAAAGUCCUGAUUAUCAGUUCUGGGUCCCUGGCAAUGACUGUUGGGUACAAACUGCAAAGCUUUGUUCUGCAGGUAGGGCUGGGCUUUUCAUUGACCAUGGGUUGGAAUAGUGCUGUGGGCAUAGUGUGUCUUCGAAGCCACUAUGUUUUCUGCACUUGUGACUAGAGAGCACCUUGAUAGCUCAGUUGGUAGAGCGGUGGACUGUAAGAUGCUCCUUGUGUGAAACGCUGUGAUCCUAAGGUCGCUGGUUCAACUCCAGCUCCAAGCACCUCCUUGACAUUGGAAAUACCCCCAAGCCUUGUCUUUAUCUGUCAACUCCUCCAAAAUGUCAAAACACAAAGAAGAUAACUCUUUCUUUAAUUUUCAACCAUCAAUUUUUUAUUCACCCAGCCUAAAAGUCCUGAUUAUCAGUUCUGGGUCCCUGGCAAUGACUGUUGGGUACAAACUGCAAAGCUUUGUUCUUCAGGUAGGGCUGGGCUUUUCAUUGACCAUGGGUUGGAAUAGUUCUGUGGGCAUAGUGUGUCUUCGAAGCCACUAUGUUUUCUGCACUUGUGACUAGAGAGCACCUUGAUAGCUCAGUUUGUAGAGCGGUGGACUGUAAGAUGCUCCUUGUGUGAAACGCUGUGAUCCUAAGGUCUCUGGUUCAACUCCAGCUCCAAGCACCUCCUUGUCAUUGGAAAUACCCCCAAGCCUUGUCUUUAUCUUUCAACUCCUCCAAAAUGUCAAAACACAAAGAAGAUAACUCUUUCUUAAAUUUUCAACCAUCAAUUUUUUAUUCACCCAGCCUAACAGUCCUGAUUAUCAGUUCUGGGUCCCUGGCAAUGACUGUUGGGUACAAACUGCAAAGCUUUGUUCUGCAGGUAGGGCUGGGCUUUUCAUUGACCAUGGGUUGGAAUAGUUCUGUGGGCAUAGUGUGUCUACGAAGCCACUAUGUUUUCUGCACUUGUGACUAGAGAGCACCUUGAUAGCUCAGUUGGUAGAGCGGUGGACUGUAAGAUGCUCCUUGUGUGAAACGCUGUGAUCCUAAGGUCGCUGGUUCAACUCCAGCUCCAAGCAGCUCCUUGUCAUUGGAAAUACCCCCAAGCCUUGUCUUUAUCUGUCAACUCCUCCAAAAUGUCAAAACACAAAGAAGAUAACUCUUUCUUAAAUUUUCAACCAUCAAUUUUUUAUUCACCCAGCCUAAAAGUCCUGAUUAUCAGUUCUGGGUCCCUGGCAAUGACUGUUGGGUACAAACUGCAAAGCUUUGUUCUGCAGGUAGGGCUGGGCUUUUCAUUGACCAUGGGUUGGAAUAGUUCUGUGGGCAUAGUGUGUCUUCGAAGCCACUAUGUUUUCUGCACUUGUGACUAGAGAGCACCUUGAUAGCUCAGUUGGUAGAGCGGUGGACUGUAAGAUCCUCCUUGUGUGAAACGCUGUGAUCCUAAGGUCGCUGGUUCAACUCCAGCUCCAAGCAACUCCUUGUCAUUGGAAAUACCCCCAAGCCUUGUCUUUAUCUGUCAACUCCUCCAAAAUGUCAAAACACAAAGAAGAUAACUCUUUCUUAAAUUUUCAACCAUCAAUGUUUUAUUCACCCAGCCUAAAAGUCCUGAUUAUCAGUUCUGGGUCCCUGGCAAUGACUGUUGGGUACAAACUGCAAAGCUUUGUUCUGCAGGUAGGGCUGGGCUUUUCAUUGACCAUGGGUUGGAAUAGUUCUGUGGGCAUAGUGUGUCUUCGAAGCCACUAUGUUUUCUGCACUUGCGACUAGAGAGCACCUUGAUAGCUCAGUUUGUAGAGCGGUGGACUGUAAGAUGCUCCUUGUGUGAAACGCUGUGAUCCUAAGGUGGCUGGUUCAACUCCAGCUCCAAGCACCUCCUUGUCAUUGGAAAUACCCCCAAGCCUUGUCUUUAUCUUUCAACUCCUCCAAAAUGUCAAAACACAAAGAAGAUAACUCUUUCUUAAAUUUUCAACCAUCAAUUUUUUAUUCACCCAGCCUAAAAGUCCUGAUUAUCAGUUCUGGGUCCCUGGCAAUGACUGUUGGGUACAAACUGCAAAGCUUUGUUCUGCAGGUAGGGCUGGGCUUUUCAUUGACCAUGGGUUGGAAUAGUUCUGUGGGCAUAGUGUGUCUUCGAAGCCACUAUGUUUUCUGCACUUGUGACUAGAGAGCACCUUGAUAGCUCAGUUGGUAGAGCGGUGGACUGUAAGAUGCUCCUUGUGUGAAACGCUGUGAUCCUAAGUUCGCUGUUUCAACUCCAGCUCCAUGCACCUCCUUGUCAUUGGAAAUACCCCCAAGCCUUGUCUUUAUCUGUCAACUCCUCCAAAAUGUCAAAACACAAACAAGAUAGCUCUUUCUUAAAUUUUCAACCAUCAAUUUUUUAUUCACCCAGCCUAAAAGUCCUGAUUAUCAGUUCUGGGUCCCUGGCAAUGACUGUUGGGUACAAACUGCAAAGCUUUGUUCUGCAGGUAGGGCUGGGCUUUUCAUUGACCAUGGGUUGGAAUAGUUCUUUGGGCAUAGUGUGUCUUCGAAGCCACUAUGUUUUCUGCACUUGAGACUAGAGAGCACCUUGAUAGCUCAGUUGGUACAGCGGUGGACUGUAAGAUGCUCCUUGUGUGAAACGCUGUGAUCCUAAGGUCGCUGGUUCAACUCCAGCUCCAUGCACCUCCUUGUCAUUGGAAAUACCCCCAAGCCUUGUCUUUAUCUGUCAACUCCUCCAAAAUGUCAAAACACAAAGAAGAUAACUCUUUCUUAAAUUUUCAACCAUCAAUUUUUUAUUCACCCAGCCUAAAAGUCCUGAUUAUCAGUUCUGGGUCCCUGGCAAUGACUGUUGGGUACAAACUGCAAAGCUUUGUUCUGCAGGUAGGGCUGGGCUUUUCAUUGACCAUGGGUUGGAAUAGUUCUGUGGGCAUAGUGUGUCUUCGAAGCCACUAUGUUUUCUGCACUUGUGACUAGAGAACACCUUGAUAGCUCAGUUGGUAGAGCGGUGGACUGUAAAAUGCUCCUUGUGUGAAACGCUGUGAUCCUAAGGUCGCUGGUUCAACUCCAGCUCCAAGCACCUCCUUGUCAUUGGAAAUACCCCCAAGCCUUGUCUUUAUCUGUCAACUCCUCCAAAAUGUCAAAACACAAAGAAGAUAACUCUUUCUUAAAUUUUCAACCAUCAAUGUUUUAUUCACCCAGCCUAAAAGUCCUGAUUAUCAGUUCUGGGUCCCUGGCAAUGACUGUUGGGUACAAACUGCAAAGCUUUGUUCUGCAGGUAGGGCUGGGCUUUUCAUUGACCAUGGGUUGGAAUAGUUCUGUGGGCAUAGUGUGUCUUCGAAGCCACUAUGUUUUCUGCACUUGUGACUAGAGAGCACCUUGAUAGCUCAGUUGGUAGAGCGGUGGCCUGUAAGAUGCUCCUUGUGUGAAACGCUGUGAUCCUAAGGUCGCUGGUUCAACUCCAGCUCCAAGCACCUCCGUGUCUUUGGAAAUACCCCCAAGCCUUGUCUUUAUCUGUCAACUCCUCCAAAAUGUCAAAACACAAAGAAGAUAACUCUUUCUUAAAUUUUCAACCAUCAAUUUUUUAUUCACCCAGCCUAAAAGUCCUGAUUAUCAGUUCUGGGUCCCUGGCAAUGACUGUUGGGUACAAACUGCAAAGCUUUGUUCUGCAGGUAGGGCUGGGCUUUUCAUUGACCAUGGGUUGGAAUAGUUCUUUGGGCAUAGUGUGUCUUCGAAGCCACUAUGUUUUCUGCACUUGUGCCUAGAGAGCACCUUGAUAGCUCAGUUGCUAGAGCGGUGGACUCUAAGAUGCUCCUUGUGUGAAACGCUGUGAUCCUAAGUUCGCUGGUUCAACUCCAGCUCCAUGCACCUCCUUGUCAUUGGAAAUACCCCCAAGCCUUGUCUUUAUCUGUCAACUCCUCCAAAAUGUCAAAACACAAAGAAGAUAACUCUUUCUUAAAUUUUCAACCAUCAAUUUUUUAUUCACCCAGCCUAAAAGUCCUGAUUAUCAGUUCUGGGUCCCUGGCAAUGACUGUUGGGUACAAACUGCAAAGCUUUGUUCUGCAGGUAGGGCUGGGCUUUUCAUUGACCAUGGGUUGGAAUAGUUCUGUGGGCAUAGUGUGUCUUCGAAGCCACUAUGUUUUCUGCACUUGCGACUAGAGAGCACCUUGAUAUCUCAGUUGGUAGAGCGGUGGACUGUAAGAUGCUCCUUGUGUGAAACGCUGUGAUCCUAAGUUCGCUGGUUCAACUCCAGCUCCAUGCACCUCCUUGUCAUUGGAAAUACCCCCAAGCCUUGUCUUUAUCUGUCAACUCCUCCAAAAUGUCAAAACACAAACAAGAUAGCUCUUUCUUAAAUUUUCAACCAUCAAUUUUUUAUUCACCCAGCCUAAAAGUCCUGAUUAUCAGUUCUGGGUCCCUGGCAAUGACUGUUGGGUACAAACUGCAAAGCUUUGUUCUGCAGGUAGGGCUGGGCUUUUCAUUGACCAUGGGUUGGAAUAGUUCUUUGGGCAUAGUGUGUCUUCGAAGCCACUAUGUUUUCUGCACUUGUGACUAGAGAGCACCUUGAUAGCUCAGUUGGUAGAGCGGUGGACUGUAAGAUGCUCCUUGUGUGAAACGCUGUGAUCCUAAGUUCGCUGGUUCAACUCCAGCUCCAUGCACCUCCUUGUCAUUGGAAAUACCCCCAAGCCUUGUCUUUAUCUGUCAACUCCUCCAAAAUGUCAAAACAAAAAGAAGAUAACUCUUUCUUAAAUUUUCAACCAUCAAUUUUUUAUUCACCCAGCCUAAAAGUCCUGAUUAUCAGUUCUGGGUCCCUGGCAAUGUCUGUUGGGUACAAACUGCAAAGCUUUGUUCUGCAGGUAGGGCUGGGCUUUUCAUUGACCAUGGGUUGGAAUAGUUCUGUGGGCAUAGUGUGUCUUCGAAGCCACUAUGUUUUCUGCACUUGUGAAUAGAGAGCACCUUGAUAGCUCAGUUGGUAGAGCGGUGGACUGUAAAAUGCUCCUUGUGUGAAACGCUGUGAUCCUAAGGUCGCUGGUUCAACUCCAGCUCCAAGCACCUCCUUGUCAUUGGAAAUACCCCCAAGCCUUGUCUUUAUCUGUCAACUCCUCCAAAAUGUCAAAACACAAAGAAGAUAACUCUUUCUUAAAUUUUCAACCAUCAAUGUUUUAUUCACCCAGUCUAAAAGUCCUGAUUAUCAGUUCUGGGUCCCUGGCAAUGACUGUUGGGUACAAACUGCAAAGCUUUGUUCUGCAGGUAGGGCUGGGCUUUUCAUUGACCAUGGGUUGGAAUAGUUCUGUGGGCAUAGUGUGUCUUCGAAGCCACUAUGUUUUCUGCACUUGUGACUAGAGAGCACCUUGAUAGCUCAGUCGGUAGAGCGGUGGACUGUAAGAUGCUCCUUGUGUGAAACGCCGUGAUCCUAAGGUCGCUGGUUCAACUCCAGCUCUAAGCACCUCCUUGUCAUUGGAAAUACCCCCAAGCCUUGUCUUUAUCUGUCAACUCCUCCAAAAUGUCAAAACACAAAGAAGAUAACUCUUGCUUAAAUUUUCAACCAUCAAUUUUUUAUUCACCCAGCCUAAAAGUCCUGAUUAUCAGUUCUGGGUCCCUGGCAAUGACUGUUGGGUACAAACUGCAAAGCUUUGUUCUGCAGGUAGGGCUGGGCUUUUCAUUGACCAUGGGUUGGAAUAGUUCUGUGGGCAUAGUGUGUCUUCGAAGCCACUAUGUUUUCUGCACUUGUGACUAGAGAGCACCUUGAUAGCUCAGUUGGUAGAGCGGUGGACUGUAAGAUGCUCCUUGUGUGAAACGCUGUGAUCCUAAGGUCGCUGGUUCAACUCCAGCUCCAAGCACCUCCUUGUCAUUGGAAAUACCCCCAAGCCUUGUCUUUAUCUGUCAACUCCUCCAAAAUGUCAAAACACAAAGAAGAUAACUCUUUCUUAAAUUUUCAACCAUCAAUGUUUUAUUCACCCAGCCUAAAAGUCCUGAUUAUCAGUUCUGGGUCCCUGGCAAUGACUGUUGGGUACAAACUGCAAAGCUUUGUUCUGCAGGUAGGGCUGGGCUUUUCAUUGACCAUGGGUUGGAAUAGUUCUGUGGGCAUAGUGUGUCUUAGAAGCCACUAUGUUUUCUGCACUUGUGAAUAGAGAGCACCUUGAUAGCUCAGUUGGUUGAGCGGUGGACUGUAAGAUGCUCCUUGUGGGAAACGCCGUGAUCCUAAGGUCGCUGGUUCAACUCCAGCUCCAAGCACCUCCUUGUCAUUGGAAAUACACCCUAGCCUUGUCUUUGUCUGUCAACUCCUCCAAAAUGUCAAAACACAAAGAACAUAACUCUUUCUUAAAUUUUCAACCAUCAAUUUUUUAUUCACCCAGCCUAAAAGUCCUGAUUAUCAGUUCUGGGUCCCUGGCAAUGACUGUUGGGUACAAACUGGAAAGCUUUGUUCUGCAGGUAGGGCUGGGCUUUUCAUUGACCAUGGGUUGGAAUAGUUCUGUGGGCAUAGUGUGUCUUCGAAGCCACUAUGUUUUCUGCACUUGUGACUAGAGAGCACCUUGAUAGCUCAGUUGGUAGAGCGGUGGACUGUAAGAUGCUCCUUGUGUGAAACGCUGUGAUCCUAAGGUCGCUGGUUCAACUCCAGCUCCAAGCACGUCCUUGUCAUUGGAAAUACCCCCAAGCCUUGUCUUUAUCUGUCAACUCCUCCAAAAUGUCAAAACACAAACAAGAUAACUCUUUCUUAAAUUUUCAACCAUCAAUGUUUUAUUCACCCAGCCUAAAAGUCCUGAUUAUCAGUUCUGGGUCCCUGGCAAUGACUGUUGGGUACAAACUGCAAAGCUUUGUUCUGCAGGUAGGGCUGGGCUUUUCAUUGACCAUGGGUUGGAAUAGUUCUGUGGGCAUAGUGUGUCUUCGAAGCCACUAUGUUUUCUGCACUUGUGAAUAGAGAUCACCUUGAUAGCUCAGUUGGUUGAGCGGUGGACUGUAAGAUGCUCCUUGUGGGAAAUGCUGUGAUCCUAAGGUCGCUGGUUCAACUCCAGCUCCAAGCACCUCCUUGUCAUUGGAAAUACCCCAUAGCCUUGUCUUUAUCUGUCAACUCCUCCAAAAUGUCAAAACACAAACAAGAUAACUCUUUCUUAAAUUUUCAACCAUCAAUUUUUUAUUCACCCAGCCUAAAAGUCCUGAUUAUCAGUUCUGGGUCCCUGGCAAUGACUGUUGGGUACAAACUGCAAAGCUUUGUUCUGCAGGUAGGGCUGGGCUUUUCAUUGACCAUGGGUUGGAAUAGUUCUGUGGGCAUAGUGUGUCUUCGAAGCCACUAUGUUUUCUGCACUUGUGACUAGAGAGCACCUUGAUAGCUCAGUUGGUAGAGCGGUGGACUGUAAGAUGCUCCUUGUGUGAAACGCUGUGAUCCUAAGGUCGCUGGUUCAACUCCAGCUCCAAGCACCUCCUUGUCAUUGGAAAUACCCCCAAGCCUUGUCUUUAUCUGUCAACUCCUCCAAAAUGUCAAAACACAAACAAGAUAACUCUUUCUUAAAUUUUCAACCAUCAAUGUUUUAUUCACCCAGUCUAAAAGUCCUGAUUAUCAGUUCUGGGUCCCUGGCAAUGACUGUUGGGUACAAACUGCAAAGCUUUGUUCUGCAGGUAGGGCUGGGCUUUUCAUUGACCAUGGGUUGGAAUAGUUCUGUGGGCAUAGUGUGUCUUCGAAGCCACUAUGUUUUCUGCACUUGUGACUAGAGAGCACCUUGAUAGCUCAGUUGGUAGAGCGGUGUACUGUAAGAUGCUCCUUGUAUGAAACGCUGUGAUCCUAAGGUCGCUGGUUCAACUCCAGCUCCAAGCACCUCCUUGUCAUUGGAAAUACCCCAAAGCCUUGUCUUUAUCUGUCAACUCCUCCAAAAUGUCAAAACACAAAGAAGAUAACUCUUGCUUAAAUUUUCAACCAUCAAUUUUUUAUUCACCCAGACUCAAAGUCCUGAUUAUCAGUUCUGGGUCCCUGGCAAUGACUGUUGGGUACAAACUGCAAAGCUUUGUUCUGCAGGUAGGGCUGGGCUUUUCAUUGACCAUGGGUUGGAAUAGUUCUGUGGGCAUAGUGUGUCUUCGAAGCCACUAUGUUUUCUGCACUUGUGACUAGAGAGCACCUUGAUAGCUCAGUUGGUAGAGCGGUGUACAGUAAGAUGCUCCUUGUAUGAAACGCUGUGAUCCUAAGGUCGCUGGUUCAACUCCAGCUCCAAGCACCUCCUUGUCAUUGGAAAUACCGCAAAGCCUUGUCUUUAUCUGUCAACUCCUCCAAAAUGUCAAAACACAAAGAAGAUAACUCUUGCUUAAAUUUUCAACCAUCAAUUUUUUAUUCACCCAGACUCAAAGUCCUGAUUAUCAGUUCUGGGUCCCUGGCAAUGACUGUUGGGUACAAACUGCAAAGCUUUGUUCUGCAGGUAGGGCUGGGCUUUUCAUUGACCAUGGGUUGGAAUAGUUCUGUGGGCAUAGUGUGUCUUCGAAGCCACUAUGUUUUCUGCACUUGUGAAUAGAGAGCACCUUGAUAGCUCAGUUGGUUGAGCGGUGGACUGUAAGAUGCUCCUUGUGGGAAACGCCGUGAUCCUAAGGUCGCUGGUUCAACUCCAGCUCCAAGCACCUCCUUGUCAUUGGAAAUACCCCCAAGCCUUGUCUUUAUCUGUCAACUCCUCCAAAAUGUCAAAACACAAACAAGAUAACUCUUGCUUAAAUUUUCAACCAUCAAUGUUUUAUUCACCCAGCCUAAAAGUCCUGAUUAUCAGUUCUGGGUCCCUGGCAAUGACUGUUGGGUACAAACUGCAAAGCUUUGUUCUGCAGGUAGGGCUGGGCUUUUCAUUGACCAUGGGUUGGAAUAGUUCUGUGGGCAUAGUGUGUCUUCGAAGCCACUAUGUUUUCUGCACUUGUGAAUAGAGAGCACCUUGAUAGCUCAGUUGGUAGAGCGGUGGACUGUAAGAUGCUCCUUGUGUGAAACGCUGUGAUCCUAAGGUCGCUGGUUCAACUCCAGCUCCAAGCACCUCCUUGUCAUUGGAAAUACCCCAAAGCCUUGUCUUUAUCUGUCAACUCCUCCAAAAUGUCAAAACACAAAGAAGAUAACUCUUGCUUAAAUUUUCAACCAUCAAUUUUUUAUUCACCCAGACUCAAAGUCCUGAUUAUCAGUUCUGGGUCCCUGGCAAUGACUGUUGGGUACAAACUGCAAAGCUUUGUUCUGCAGGUAGGGCUGGGCUUUUCAUUGACCAUGGGUUGGAAUAGUUCUGUGGGCAUAGUGUGUCUUCGAAGCCACUAUGUUUUCUGCACUUGUGACUAGAGAGCACCUUGAUAGCUCAGUUGGUAGAGCGGUGUACUGUAAGAUGCUCCUUGUGGGAAACGCCGUGAUCCUAAGGUCGCUGGUUCAACUCCAGCUCCAAGCACCUCCUUGUCAUUGGAAAUACCGCAAAGCCUUGUCUUUAUCUGUCAACUCCUCCAAAAUGUCAAAACACAAAGAAGAUAACUCUUGCUUAAAUUUUCAACCAUCAAUUUUUUAUUCACCCAGACUCAAAGUCCUGAUUAUCAGUUCUGGGUCCCUGGCAAUGACUGUUGGGUACAAACUGCAAAGCUUUGUUCUGCAGGUAGGGCUGGGCUUUUCAUUGACCAUGGGUUGGAAUAGUUCUGUGGGCAUAGUGUGUCUUCGAAGCCACUAUGUUUUCUGCACUUGUGACUAGAGAGUACCUUGAUAGCUCAGUUGGUAGAGCGGUGGACUGUAAGAUGCUCCUUGUGUGAAACGCUGUGAUCCUAAGGUCGCUGGUUCAACUCCAGCUCCAAGCACCUCCUUGUCAUUGGAAAUACCCCCAAGCCUUGUCUUUAUCUGUCAACUCCUCCAAAAUGUCAAAACACAAACAAGAUAACUCUUUCUUAAAUUUUCAACCAUCAAUGUUUUAUUCACCCAGCCUAAAAGUCCUGAUUAUCAGUUCUGGGUCCCUGGCAAUGACUGUUGGGUACAAACUGCAAAGCUUUGUUCUGCAGGUAGGGCUGGGCUUUUCAUUGACCAUGGGUUGGAAUAGUUCUGUGGGCAUAGUGUGUCUUCGAAGCCACUAUGUUUUCUGCACUUGUGAGUAGAGAGCACGUUGAUAGCUCAGUUGGUAGAGCGGUGGACUGUAAGAUGCUCCUUGUGUGAAACGCCGUGAUCCUAAGGUCGCUGGUUCAACUCCAGCUCCAAGCACCUCCUUGUCAUUGGAAAUACCCCCAAGCCUUGUCUUUAUCUGUCAACUCCUCCAAAAUGUCAAAACACAAAGAAGAUAACUCCUUCUUAAAUUUUCAACCAUCAAUGUUUUAUUCACCCAGCCUAAAAGUCCUGAUUAUCAGUUCUGGGUCCCUGGCAAUGACUGUUGGGUACAAACUGCAAAGCUUUGUUCUGCAGGUAGGGCUGGACUUUUCAUUGACCAUGGGUUGGAAUAGUUCUGUGGGCAUAGUGUGUCUUCGAAGCCACUAUGUUUUCUGCACUUGUGACUAGACAGCACCUUGAUAGCUCAGUUGGUAGAGCGGUGGACUGUAAAAUGCUCCUUGUGUGAAACGCCGUGAUCUUAAGGUCGCUGGUUCAACUCCAGCUCCAAGCACCUCCUUGUCAUUGGAAAUACCCCCAGGCCUUGUCUUUAUCUGUCAACUCCUCCAAAAUGUCAAAACACAAAGAAGAUAACUCUUUCUUAAAUUUUCAACCAUCAAUGUUUUAUUCACCCAGCCUAAAAGUCCUGAUUAUCAGUUCUGGGUCCCUGGCAAUGACUGUUGGGUACAAACUGCAAAGCUUUGUUCUGCAGGUAGGGCUGGGCUUUUCAUUGACCAUGGGUUGGAAUAGUUCUGUGGGCAUAGUGUGUCUUCGAAGCCACUAUGUUUUCUGCACUUGUGACUAGAGAGCACCUUGAUAGCUCAGUUGGUAGAGCGGUGGACUGUAAGAUGCUCCUUGUGUGAAACGCUGUGAUCCUAAGGUCGCUGGUUCAACUCCAGCUCCAAGCACCUCCUUGUCAUUGGAAAUACCCCCAAGCCUUGUCUUUAUCUGUCAACUCCUCCAAAAUGUCAAAACACAAAGAAGAUAACUCUUUCUUAAAUUUUCAACCAUCAAUGUUUUAUUCACCCAGCCUAAAAGUCCUGAUUAUCAGUUCUGGGUCCCUGGCAAUGACUGUUGGGUACAAACUGCAAAGCUUUGUUCUGCAGGUAGGGCUGGGCUUUUCAUUGACCAUGGGUUGGAAUAGUUCUGUGGGCAUAGUGUGUCUUCGAAGCCACUAUGUUUUCUGCACUUGUGACGAGAGAGCACCUUGAUAGCUCAGUUGGUAGAGCGGUGGACUGUAAGAUGCUCCUUGUGGGAAACGCCGUGAUCCUAAGGUCGCUGGUUCAACUCCAGCUCCAAGCACCUCCUUGUCAUUGGAAAUACCCCCUAGCCUUGUCUUUAUCUGUCAACUCCUCCAAAAUGUCAAAACACAAACAAGAUAACUCUUGCUUAAUUUUCCAACCAUCAAUGUUUUAUUCACCCAGCCUAAAAGUCCUGAUUAUCAGUUCUGGGUCCCUGGCAAUGACUGUUGGGUACAAACUGCAAAGCUUUGUUCUGCAGGUAGGGCUGGGCUUUUCAUUGACCAUGGGUUGGAAUAGUUCCGUGGUCAUAGUGUGUCUUCGAAGCCAUUAUGUUUUCUGCACUUGUGACUAGAGAGCACCUUGAUUGCUCACUUGGUAGAGUGGUGGACUGUAAGAUGCUCCUCGUGUGAAAAGCUGUGAUCCUAAGGUCGCUCGUUCAACUCCAGCCCCAAGCACCUCCUUGUCAUUGCAAAUACUCCCAAGCCUUGUCUUUAUCUGUCAACUCCUCCAAAAUGUCAAAACACAAACAAGAUAACUCUUUCUUAAAUUUUCAACCAUCAAUUUUUAUUCACCCAGCCUAAAAGUCCUGAUUAUCAGUUCUGGGUCCCCGGCAAUGACUGUUGGGUACAAACUGCAAAGCUUUGUUCUGCAGGUAGGGCUGGGCUUUUCAUUGACCAUGGGUUGGAAUAGUUCUGUGGGCAUAGUGUGUCUUCGAAGCUACUAUGUUUUUUGCACUUGUGACUACAGAGCACCUUGAUAGCCCAGUUGGUAGAGCGGUGGACUGUAAGAUGCUCCUUGUGUGAAACGUUGUGAUCCUAAGGUUGCUGGUUCAACUCCAGCUCCCAGCACGUGCAUUUCAUUGGUGUGAGCAAUGUUCAAAUUCUAUUCACAUUGAAAUAAUGCCAAGCCUUAUCUUCAUCUGUCAUCUCCUCCUUAAUGUAUAAACACAAAGAAUUUAACUCUUGCUUAAUUUUCCAACCAUCAAUUUUUUAUUCACCCAGCCUAAAAGUCCUGAUCAUAAGUUCUGGGUCCCUGGCAAUGACUGUUGGGUACAAACUGCAAAGCUUUCUUCUGCAGGUAGGGCUGGGCUUUUCAUUGACCAUGGGUUCAAAUAGUUCUGUGGGCAUAGUGUUUCGACUCAGCCACUAUGUUUUCUGCAGUAGUAACUAGAGAGCAUCUUGAUAGCUCAGUUGGUAGAGCGGAGGACUGUAGGAUGUUUCCGAUAGAAAUUGCUGUGAUCCUUAGAUCGCUGGUUCGACUCCGGCUCGAAUGAUAUGUAAGCAGUCUUCUGGUUUUAAUCACAUCGAAAUAAUGCGUAGCCUUGUCUUUUUCAAUCAACUACGUCACUUAAAAUGUACAAACACAAAUAAGAUAACUCCUCCUUGUGAUGGACCCACUUACUUUUCCGGUUGACCACCUUUAUGAAAGGCUCAUAUGGCCUACAUAUCACACAAAAAAUGUAAACACGAUAGAAAUGAUUAAUUCAAUGAAUUCAUCUUAGAAAUAAAUGGGCAUGGGCUGCAGGGGCUGUGUGAUCACAGACAACAUCUCGGUACUAUUUAGCGCACACCCCUUUUAAUAACCCCCAUAAAUACUGUUGUUCCGGACUUCUUACUUGUGCUUCCUACCUACCUACUGUAAUAACCGUUGUUCCAGCCAACAUGCAACAUUUUUGUUCUCAUUCAUGAAACGCUUAAAUCGGGGACAUUUUCGGGGACAGACAUAUGGUGACUGUCCCCGGAAAUCAGGGACGUCUGGUCACCUUAGUUAAAAGCGCAUGUUGAACAGUGCUAUUUCAGGGUGAUAAUGGCAUCAAAGAUGAAUUUUCUGCCAGCAUUCCCUCCGUGCUUUUGCAGCGGCGACGGUGUUGCUUUUGAGGUUUAUGAUAGAUUUGAAUUCUUCAUACUUUCUUAUGAUUGUUUUCUGCCCCUUGUUUGUGAAGUCUGCGGUCCUUCGCUCUGCAGUCUGCUCUCUGACGCUCCAGACUGGUCCAUGUUCGCGAUUGGUCAGAUGUGGCGGGCUCCGCCUUAAAUGCGUGCAUGCGCUCAUAGCAAAGCUGGAUCAACUUACGAGGUUGUUAACCAGCGUCGUAAGACCGUUUAGCGAGACCGCUGGCUACCGCGCUAAGUUGAGCGAGGUACCUCCAAGGCUACCUUGCUAGGUUGAACUUGCUUUGUAUAACAGGCCCCUGUUCUCUGUGCUGUAUCAGUUUUCAGUGUUUCUUGUUUUAUUUUGUAGUAGCUGAUUUUUUGUGUUUCUAGACUGGUUUUACUUCCCUAGUUUUCCCUCCUUUGUUAAUCACUCAUGAGUUUCACCUGUGUCUCGUCAGCCUCACCUGUUGCUCGUUAGCCUCACCUGUGUCUCGUCAGCAUCACCUGUUGCUCGUUUCCCAGUGUUUAUAAAGUCCCUGUCUUCUCCUCUGUUCUUGCUGGUUCUUUGUGUGUGCAUGUCUGUCUGUUCCCUGUGAUCUUUGAGUCCCAAAUAUCCUUGUAAUUUUUUUCACCCCACUGUCUAAAGCUGGAUUUUGCCUUUUGGAUGUUUUAGUUGGACAUUUUAAAGUAAGUUUUUGUUGCUUUACAUAAAGUUCUUUUUAAAUAAAUCAUUUUUUGUUCCGCAUUUGGGUCCUUUUUUCUGUUGUUCAACUCUGCUACGUGACAGUUACAGUUGAAGCAAAAAGAAAAAAGGUGCAUCUUUGUUUUUCUUAUAAAAUCGUUUUAGGUCUUCUCAAUUUAUCCCAAAUACUCCUUUCACUAGAGAGUUUAGUUCAAAAUUUUCCAGGUGGGCUUUAAAGAUGUAUAUUGACUAAAGUGGCAGCAUCAGGUUAGAUGCCAGCUAACUGAAAACUUGUUCUCAAAUCUCAUCCUUACAAGCAUGUAGGUUAAACUUGGUCUUGUAAACCUUGUGGGAAAAAUCACUUUUCUUACUGGUAUUUUUCUAAUUAUUCUUCUAAUUUCAUUUCUUCUUUUGAAGUGAAGCAGGUACGCAGCAGAUGCCGAUCACCUUGGCCUCUAAGUUGGGAAAUCUUCGGGAAAACUGAGAUGGAAGCCAGGCUAUCAACUGCUGCAAGUGGGGUCAGCUUCACCAUUUAAUGAAACUCCAACCCAAAGGCUCAUGUUGGUAAAGAUGUACACAUGACACAGAAUUUUUCCAGUACUCAAUUUUGCCACCAGAAAGCCUGUUCAUUACUGUUCUCCUUUGUACUCAAGAUGAGGCACAUCCAUGUUUAUCCAGUCAGCUUUGAAAGAAAUUAAAAAAACACAAUUUAAAUGUGACCACGCCCAAAGUUUGUGUAAUUAAAAUGAAGACAAGUAGACAAAGAGAACCUCACAAUUGCAAACGGACACAUUUUCAACAGCUUUGCCUCUUCAGAACUCGAACAUGGGUUAUGUGAAUCACUGAGUUUAACUUUGACUGUAGCUCUUCCAUGAGUUACAUGU
rnacentral:lncRNA from 1 species